rnacentral:rRNA from 1 species
AUGAGAAAACUCGCUACUAUUAUAUCCUUAAUAUUCCCAUUCUCAUUAAAGGGUGAUGCUAAGAUAUGGUUUAAUUCUAUUGAUCCUGGUUGUGUGCUUAGUCCCCACGAUAUGAUUUAUUACUUCUCUGCUAAAUAUUUCCCUGCUCAUAAGAAACAAGCUGCUUUAAGGGAAAUAUAUAAUUUUGUGCAAAUUGAAGAAGAGAGUCUCCCACAAGCUUGGGGGAGGCUUCUCCAAUUACUUAAUGCUUUGCCUAAUCGUCCUCUUAAGAAAAAUGAAAUACUUGAUAUCUUUUAUAAUGGACUAACCGAUGCUUCCAGAGACCACCUGGAUAGUUGUGCUGGUUGUGUUUUCAGGGAAAGAACACCAGAUGAAGCUGAAAUUUUGUUGAAUAAUAUGUUGACUAAUGAAAAUAAUUGGACACUUCCUGAUCCAAUUCCUGAACCAACUCCUAAGCCAACUCCAAAUAAAAGGGGUGUUCUAUUUCUUAGUCCUGAAGAUAUGCAAGAGGCAAAGAAAUCUAUGAAAGAUAAAGGUAUUAAAGUUGAAGAUGUUAAGAGUUUACCUCCUAUUGAAGAAAUACAUGGUCUUAAUUUACCACCUGUUGAAGAAAUACAUGGUCUUGAUAACCCGACACAGGUAGUAAAGGUUUACAUAAAGAGGGAGAAUGCCGGCAGCUGGAAUUCUGGUCAGGAAAAGGAGCAAAUAUUAGAGACCUAUUCUACGCAACUCCAAAAGUCCUGA